UACCUACAGGACUGGGACAACAACUGGAAACGGUUGCUAAAACCGGAUGUGCCGAGAGGUGAAAUAUUUUAUAGCCUGUAGAUGUGCUCGCGUCUGAUUAGCUAGUUGGUGGGGUAAAGGCCUACCAAGGCGACGAUCAGUAGCUGGUCUGAGAGGAUGAUCAGCCACACUGGGACUGAGACACGGCCCAGACUCCUACGGGAGGCAGCAGUGGGGAAUUUUCCGCAAUGGGCGCAAGCCUGACGGAGCAAUACCGCGUGAGGGAGGAAGGCUCUUGGGUCGUAAACCUCUUUUCUCUGGGAAGAAUAACUGACGGUACCAGAGGAAUCAGCAUCGGCUAACUCCGUGCCAGCAGCCGCGGUAAUACGGGGGAUGCAAGCGUUAUCCGGAAUUAUUGGGCGUAAAGCGUCCGCAGGUGGCUAAUCAAGUCUGUUGUCAAAGCGCGGAGCUUAACUCCGUACAGGCGAUGGAAACUGGUUGGCUAGAGUUAGGUAGGGGUAAGAGGAAUUCCCAGUGUAGCGGUGAAAUGCGUAGAUAUUGGGAAGAACACCGGCGGCGAAAGCGUCUUACUGGGCCUAAACUGACACUGAGGGACGAAAGCUAGGGGAGCGAAAGGGAUU
rnacentral:rRNA from 1 species